UUCGGGAAGCCGCAGCCUCCCAGGUGUUUCAGGCGCCCGGCACCCCAGAUCUUCCCGGGUCCGGCGUCCUCCCGUACCUGAGGGUCUCCGGGUGUCACCACUGCAUGGGUCAGAGGCAGGGUCUACACGGCUCAAACAACCAGGUGCUGAGAAGAUUGAUAUUUCCAGCAGAUUGAACUGAUUCUGAUGGUUUCUCCGUGUACGUUCAGGCCUGGAACAGAAAUCACAGAUAGGUCAAGAAGGAGUUUCAUAAAUGAGAUACAGAUCCAUACAAACACAGUGUCAGCUACUGAGAAGACAGAUGAGUAAAGGCUUAGUCCCUGCCCUUGAAGAAGUAAAAAUGAAGUCCACGGUUCUGCAAAGAUCAUGCACAAAUCAUGAAUUCUACUCCAUCGGGGCAGGGCUUGGAUCCGUUUGGGGCACUACUUUUCUACAGCGCUCAGAACAAUUCCUGACACACCACCGAAUAAAUAUUUGUUGAGUAAAUGACGCUCAUGAAUUCCGAGGAUGAAUUUUUGUCACCUUUCCGAGGAACAUGUAAAAUGUUGGUUGAUAAGUAUGG